rnacentral:rRNA from 1 species
UACGAAGGGGGCUAGCGUUGCUCGGAAUCACUGGGCGUAAAGGGUGCGUAGGCGGGUUUUUAAGUCAGGGGUGAAAUCCUGGAGCUCAACUCCAGAACUGCCUUUGAUACUGAAGAUCUUGAGUCCGGGAGAGGUGAGUGGAACUGCGAGUGUAGAGGUGAAAUUCGUAGAUAUUCGGUGGAACACCAGUGGCGAAGGCGACUCGCUGGACUGAUACUGACGCUGAGGUGCGAAAGCGUGGGGAGCAAACAGG